UAAAUGUAUAAAAAGGACAAAUUACACAAACAAACAGCAACAAACAGAAGAAGACGAAAACAUUAAAAUAAGUGUAUAAAAAGGACAAAUUACACAAACAAACAGCAACAAACAGAAGAAGACGAAAACAUUAAAAUAAAUGUAUAAAAAGAACAAAUUACACAAACAAACAAUUAUAUAAAGUGAAGCAGUGAUCAAUGUUAAGUUGUUUCUGGAAACUCGUUGUACGAACUACUGACAAAUGGGAUAAACAAAAAGUUAAUCAAAGGAAAAAAGAUAACCUAAUAGUAUAUUGUAACAAAUUAAUGAAUUAAAACAUUAGUUAAUUAGAUGAAGUCAAUAGUAGAAUGAGUUCGAGCGUUAGAAAAAUAAGUAUUGCGUAAAAUAGAAAAGGGCUCACCCUGACACAUACGUCUAAUCGCUUAGAUUUCCAGUCGGUAGAAUGACCUCCGUAACGCGAUUUACACAUCGAAGUUCGGUUGGUAGGGAGUGGGAAGGUCGCUGGAAGGUCAAACGUGCACGAAGGGUUAUGUUUUCAACAACUCGAUAUUAAAUUCGAAGUAAAAAAGGUAAUAACAUGUUAGACUUAAACGCGGGGAGACGCGUAGGAAGUAAACACGAGUGAGCUUAUAUAGUUUAGAGGAAUAAAAUGAAAAUAAAAUAUCGUAAAAUUAUUAUUUGAACUAUAUUUCAUUAAUGAGCAUAGUUCGAUGUAUGAAAGAAAGGGCAAGGAAAAAAAGAAAAGAGAAAAAAAGCAAAAAAAAGAUACGGAAGAGAUUAUCAAAAAAAAAGUCAAGGGGAGUGAAAAGGAAAAAGUAUUUCAUUCCAAUAAUACGUGAUUUGUGUUUCUCGAUGUACGUGACUUUCAUUGAAAACUAAUAAGCAUACAUUUACAUCGAAAAGCUAAAAAUCACUAUAAAUUAUUCUAGAUUAUAAAUAAGUCAAAUUAAAAUUCUUACUAUUUUGAAGCCAUCCCACCAUGUUGUAUAUUAAAUCUUUCACAUUUACGACCAGCUUUCGUCAGUUGCUUCCUCUUUCCAAUGUGACACAGCGUGAAAUGAUAUUUCAAAUAUUUAUUUCAAGAUUUAUCAGCAGAUAUGUUCAGGAACGUGUCAUCUUCUGGCAGUACCCGGCCACCAUCCCGAUUUUCGUUAAAUUUAUUUCGAUAUCCGUCUAUUUACAUAGAAAUACGAUAAAUCGUUAUAAAUUUUGUUAACAUAUUGCGGAGUACUCACUUUAUUACUAUAUAUCUAUUAUUAUUUAUAUCAUAGGACAUAGUUAGAUUGUUUCUGUCUAAAUGAGCAUACGAGAAUUAACCUAAAGCAUUAGAAUAAGCCAAAGGAUACUAAUGACCAUGAUGUAUCUGCAAUAUGUCAAUAACUCUGAGUACAAAACAAUUCAAGUUAACAUUCUCACCAUUUUAAAGUGAUGAAAUGUCGAUGUGUAUUAAAUUCUUCACAUUUAUGGCAACGAAUUGUUUACAGCUGCUUCCACUUUUUAACAUUACUCCCCGCGAAAUGGGGUAAUUUCAAAUCUUAAUUUCUAGUUUUGUCACCAGGGCGCAGAUGCGUUAGACGCGUAUUUAUUACGUUAUUGUGUGUUAAUGGUAUUCUGUUCUAUUAGUACCAUGCUAUUGUAUUUUCUCGAUAUUUAUUUUCAUACAAAAUUCAUGAAACAAAUGAAUUUCUUACGUAAGUUAUUCUACUCUUUUUAUGUAAUAUAGAUUAUGUACUGUAUUAUAAUAAGACAUAUAAGAUUUUGUAUGACAUAAUUUGACAAUAUUUAUGACAUAAUUGACUUAUUAUGCGAUUACUGACUAAAACGAUACAAGUAUUAAUAUUUUUGAAUACUACUAUUUGAAAAAUGAUAGUAACCUAAAAACUAUGCAACUUGUAAGUUAUAACCUAUUGCUAUAUUACUAUAUAUUGCUAUAUACUACUAUAUAUUACUGUAUAUAUAUAUAUAUAUGUAAUAUAAUAUGUAAUAUAUAAAUUAUAUAUAUAUAUAUAUAUAUAUAUCUUUACAAAAUUCUCUUUCCUUUCAUCAUAGAACAUUGUGGAAUAUUUCAAGAUACUGCAGAACGUCACAUAUCACCCAAAACAAAACAAAAGACAUCAUACAAGAUUUCUAAAAGUUGACAUAUUUCUUUAAAGUAAAUUUUGGUGGAUCUUUUUGAUCCUUUUGUUGGUCCUUUUGUUUCUUUUUUGCUGGUUUUCUUGCUCAUUUUGUUGCGAUUUUGGUCUCUUUACUGCUGUGUUGGAGUUAUCUAUAAACUAUGUUGCAAUUUUCUCAGGUGGAAAUAUUUGUAAGUAUAAAAUCUAUUCAAUAUUCUAUUUAUAACUUCAUAGAAGACUUUAUUUUCAAUUCAUAUAACUACUAUAUUGAAUCAAUACCAUCAUUUAUGGCACCAAAAUGGCAAGGUAGUCACAUGACCUGCAAAAUGUAGAACACAAAAAAGCGUUACAUGUAAUAUCCACUCUGUACUUUAUCUGUCAUUAUAUGAUACAAUAUUUGAAGGUAAUAUUGGAAUAAUAUUGAGAACAGUGAAUCAGUCCAUCAGUGAAUAGAGAAAUAUUAUAAUUUGUUUUGGUAAUAGAAGAAAGUUUAAAGAAAAUUAAGGGAAGAAUCGAUUAAUUAACUUACUAAUAAUUCAGCUAUAAAAAAUAUUAAAUUUGUCACCGAAUAUCUCAAUGUUGUACUUUGCUUUGGCAAUAAAAAGGAGUUUCAGAAAGUUAAGAAAAAAUCAAUUAGAGUCGACUACAGAAUGAAGUAGAUUUAUAUAGAUUUCAUAAAUUUGUAUAAAUUACAUAAGAAGGAACAGGACAAGAAAGAACACAGAGAACGAGUGAGAGGAUCAGGAUAGCGGUAAAUGAACAAGUGAUUGACCCAACAGCAUAUAACACGUCAGGGUCGUUAACACUAAGGAUCUCUCACUUUGCCGGCGAGUGGAAAUAAAGAAAAGAGGAUGAUGAGUAGCUUAUUUCUAAGAAACGUAUAUGCGAACAGGGCGUAUUGGACGAGAGGUAUUGACGCGCGCAGUUGAGAAUAUAUACACAUUGAACGAUUGCGUUAUUCAUUGUUGAAGCUUGUAUUAUUUUCUUCAAUAUUUAGUUCAUCAUCACUGUCACUAUCACUAGAAGUAUUGAAACAUCUGAACAGUACCGUUUGUUGAACGGAGAUUGUUUCUACUGUCUGAAGCACUGUCAUCAUCUUCUAUCUUGUCAGGUUCAAAAUAAUAUUUGUCAUCACUACUAUCACUAUUGAACAUGUCCUUUCUAGAUCUUUUAAGCAUCGUGCAUAAGGUAUUAUAAAAAGUAUAUAAAAUAUAUAAAAAGCUUGCUGACUCGUCUGGCAAUGCCAUUGAAAGGUUGAAACUCGUUCUGACUCGACCAUCAUCCUGCAUUGCGAGUUUACGUUAAACGGAAGAUAAGAUUUCUAAAGAUCUAUAAUUUUCUUUCAUCAGAAACAUAAUACUGUUUAGUUUACUAUACCCAUGCGUACAUACACAUAAGAUUAUCACUUAGAAAAAUAGACGUACGCCAACUACUUCAAAAUAACUCUCCGGAACUGUGAACAAAUUCGGGUGGCUAUAUGCCGACACGCAGCCGCAACGGUAAAAAGACUUGAGUAGCUAUUUGCAGACACUCGUCAGCAAAGCAUUGAACUUACUCUUAAUUAUACUCUAUUUGUUCUAUACUUAUUUACUUAUAACGUUAAAAUGAUCAAGGAAGUGAUUAUGAUUUUUAAUUACCAGCAAACUACCAGUGGCUGAAAAAUAUUCUCCUACAAGAAGGUAAUUAGCCACAUAAUUAGAUAUAAUUAGAAUUAAGGUACCUGGUCCUUAAGGUCUCAAGAAUGUAUACAUGAAACAAAGCAUAUACGAAGGCAAGAUUCUCUGCUACAUCCUGCGGUAAAAUUCGAAGAGAAUACUGGUUUCUAGGAACUUGCGAACAUAGUGGAUUGCUAUAUGAUUAAUUUUGUUAAUAUCAUAGUAAAAUAUAUCUCUUUUAAUUCUACACUGAAAGUCAAUUACGUCCAUAAGCUGGUACUACGAGAAUCUAGAAACUAUGAAGGAUAUUUCGAUAAAAAAUAUUCUCUCAUUUAACUUAUUUAUGAAUUUACGCGUUCGUCUAAUAUUCAGGUACACUUCAAUUGCAACACACAUAACGAUGACAUCUUUCCGUUAAUAAUUAUUAGACACGAGGAAAACUACAGCGUAAUAUCGACAUCGUGUUUAUUAAAAUUAUCAAGAUCACUUUCGUAAUUAUGUAAUGGGCAGUUUUGAAGUCGCUUGAUGUUCCAAACUGGUUGAAAGCUGAAAAUGAUACAACGAUCCGAGUAAAAGUCACUCGAUGAAUACGAAAUCACUCGAAACCAAGUUGUUUUCGUGAGCGAAAUCGAAAACAGGAAGGUACGAACGACGAAUGCCGGGUAACGCGACCAAUUUUUCCUGGGAAUGUUUAUUUUUUGAAAAUAAAUACAAACACGUUUGUUCAAAUCAAUUUUUAUUUCUCUCGCAUUAUAAAAUUACAUGUUCGUCGUCUCGAGAUUACUUUCUUUUUUUUUUUUUUUGUUUUCGCUUGCAUUG